rnacentral:rRNA from 1 species
UACGGAGGGUGCGAGCGUUGUCCGGAAUCAUUGGGCGUAAAGAGCUCGUAGGUGGUUUGUCGCGUUGUCCGUGAAAACUCACAACUCAAUUGUGGGCGUGCGGGCGAUACGGGCAGACUGGAGUACUGCAGGGGAGACUGGAAUUCCUGGUGUAGCGGUGGAAUGCGCAGAUAUCCAAAGGAACACCGGUGGCGAAAGCGGCGCGCUGGACCUCUACUGACGCUGAGGCGCGAAAGCCAGGGGAGCAAACGGG